rnacentral:rRNA from 1 species
GAACUGAAGAGUUUGAUCAUGGCUCAGAUUGAACGCUGGCGGCAGGCCUAACACAUGCAAGUCGAGCGGAUGAAAGGAGCUUGCUCCUGGAUUCAGCGGCGGACGGGUGAGUAAUGCCU